UCGAGCCUCCGGGAAUCAUAGUGGGUGAGCCGUGAGUACAGUGCGCUGCUCCCCUACACGUAUGGCUAGCUUGUGAUUAAUUAAAACCACCAGUAACACUUAACAGCACAGCACCGAAGAUAUAUAAGUUAUCUCUCUGAUCAUCGCACGACAGGCGCGUCGUACAGACAGGUCGCCGGCGAUGAUCACCGGCCGACGGCCGCUGGCCCGAUUACGCGCGAUAGUCCUGCUGGCUCUCGUGAUGAUCGGCGAUGGCAUCCUCGUCGUGCCGGCGUCUGGGAGCUCGGGCAAAACCGGCGGCACGGGAAAAGAUCGACCAUUUGGUACCGGUGGUCCGACUACCGCAUCACCGUAUAACAGGCCAUAUGUUUAUGCUGCUCUAUCUAGAGGCAACCCCGUUUGCAGAGGUACAUGCGCCCCAGGUGGUAGUACUUACACCAGGGGACGACCUCACUCCGGCGGCUAGCACGACUCAUGCAUGACAGGUCCCGGAGGGCACCGGUGGUGGCGGCGAAUGAAGAAUGCUCGUGUCUUAGUUAGCGGAGAAGGGCGCACAAGCAGCAGGCGAUCGUUAAUAUGCCCUUCUGUAGUUGAUUCUCAUUGUAAGGGUAACUACCUGAAAUCGUCGCUGAGAAUUAUGAUGUAUCAAUGUCUAGUUAUAGUUGUUGACUGGUUUCUAUAAUAAGAUGAUUUUGUAAAUAUAAAAGUCUAGAACUGUUGAUUAAUUAUAUACUGCCUCCAGUUUUUUUUAUCGAAAAUACUAGUACACAUAUUUCAGCCUGGGACAGAAUACUUAAUGGAGCGCCAUACUUCUCAUCCUACUUAAGGCCACCCAUUCAGCCAUCAACGGCGUUCGUGGCCAUACAGGCACUUGCAGGGGCCACCACCUCCUACAUGCAUGUUGAUGCACUGGAGCCCCAACAUCAUCAUCUCCCGUGGAGGAAAUAUCAAUGUUACGGUGCACCUGCUUUACUAUCUUAAAGAUGUAGGUCUUAUAGGUCUUGAUGCUCUCCUCCACAGAGGCAUGAGGAACCGGA